GAAUGACUCUCGGCAACGGAUAUCUCGGCUCUCGCAUCGAUGAAGAACGUAGCGAAAUGCGAUACUUGGUGUGAAUUGCAGAAUCCCGUGAACCAUCGAGUCUUUGAACGCAAGUUGCGCCCGAAGCCAUUAGGCUGAGGGCACGCCUGCCUGGGUGUCACAC
rnacentral:rRNA from 1 species